rnacentral:rRNA from 1 species
UACGGGGGGGGCAAGCGUUGUUCGGAAUUACUGGGCGUAAAGGGCUCGUAGGCGGCCAACUAAGUCGGACGUGAAAUCCCUCAGCUUAACUGGGGAACUGCGUCCGAUACUGGAUGGCUUGGAUUCGGGAGAGGGAUGCGGAAUUCCAGGUGUAGCGGUGAAAUGCGUAGAUAUCUGGAGGAACACCGGUGGCGAAGGCGGCAUCCUGGACCAACACUGACACUGAGGAGCGAAAGCCAGGGGAGCAAACGGG